rnacentral:ncRNA from 2 species
GGGACAUCCCACGGGAGCCCUCGGCAGAGGGCUGAGAUCGGGCUGUUGCCGCUCGGACCGUCCGAACCUGCCCGGAUCAUGCCGGCGAAGGAAGAGAGAUGUCAUGACGA